AGCCGGGGAGCCGCGCGGGACCGGGGCCGGCCGGGCCCAGGGCGCUCCCGCCGGGGGCUGAGGGCCUCCGUGCACCGGUUCUGUUUAUCAGCCAAACCGGAGCCCACCUUUGGACCCGCGAAGCCAGGCGUUUGCAGCCCGGCAUGGAAGGCUCCGUCCGGGCUUUCCCACCGGCCACCGGCCGCGGGCCCGGCUCCAGGCCGGAGAGAAGAAAACUGCGCUGCAGGGGCCCAGCUCCGGGGCAGAGCGGCUCCUGGGGGCGAGGCCGCACCUGCAGCGCAGGCAGGAGGCACGCGUGGAGAUGGCGUCCAAGAGGGAAAUACGUUCUGUUUUGUUUUGUUUUGUUUUUUGUUUUCUCCACCUCGGUCUGGGCCAGGUAAGAGGCCUGGAGUCCUUGGGCGCCAUAGACAUUUCACCGGCAUCUCCCAGGGGUGUGGACAGGGCAGGGAGGAGGCCCAAGAGCACCCCACUAAGACAAUGCAGAAAAAAGAGGGGAACGGUUUUUUUUAGGAUCCAACUCAUCACAGACCCAUAGUUUCUGGGGCAGAGAACAUCCCUUUCCCCUCUUUAAGCCUCAGUUUUACCUGUGAAAUACUGGAACCUGCAGUGCAGGGGUGAGGGGGGCUUGUGUGCAUUGAGGAGACUUCCCGGAAAACCCUGGAGCCAGAUAAUGCUUGGCAGUCCGGGGAGGCUGGAAGCCAGUUCCCAGUAGUCAAACCUAGCCCCUCUGGAGGCUUAGGGUUCUCAAAGUCCAGCAGACCCAGCGCUGGGGUUGGAGGGACUAAGAGACUAGGGACAAAAAUUCAGACCCCUCCAGGAAUUGGCAAAGGUGCUUCUCAGCAAACUCUCCUACCUUUCCCACUUUUAACAAGGUAAUUAGGAGGAAGUUGGGGUUAGUUUCAGGAAGAAAAGAAUUUCGAUGUGGGGGAGGAAAGGUCAACAGCUCUCCAUAUGCUAAAUUGAGUCAAAUCUAGGUGCGAGAAGGCGGGUCCUCCCAGUGUCACUGAUCCAAGCCAGGCUGCUGAGGACCAAGGCUGCCACUUUCCGAUACAGAAUCUGCGGCACGAGUGCUGGGAGCCAAACAGCAGAAGGGCGACUGUGUGCCUGGAGCCCUGGGGGAAGUCUGCACUACCUCAGACGCUCCCUGAGAAAGGGGAAGGCAGUGAGUUCAUGGAAUUGAGGUUCCUUCAUUUCACCUUAUUGUCUUCUGGUUUGUUGUGACAUAUGGGAGGCCCUCCCCCUCACAAUUGGGCCCCCUGGGAGAACAUUCUCUGCCUACCCAGCUCCCCUCAGCAAAGAUAAUGAAGUGUUCAGAGUCAAUGUCCCUGGAGAACA